GCUGUAUCUGUGGUUGACGUGGGUGCAGUUGUUGUUGACGUGGAAUGUUCUAUGGUUGUUGUGGCAGUUGUAGUUGUUGUGGGAAGUGCUGUGGUUGACGUGGUGGCUUCGGCUGUUGUUGGAGCAACUGUGGUUGUUGUGGCACCUGCUGUGUUUGUUGUUGCAGUUGUUGUUGAUGUUGGAGCAGGUGUGGUUGUUGUACUGGCAGAUGUAGUUGUUGUGGCUUUAUCUGUGGUUGAAGUGGGUGCAGUUGUAGUUGAUGUGGCAUGUUCUGUGGUUGUUGUGGCAGCUGCAGUUGUUGUGGGAAGUGCUGUGGUUGACGUGGUUGCCGAUGUUGAUGUUGGAGCAACUGUGGUUGUUGUGGCACCUGCCAUGUUUGUUGUUGCAGUUGUGGGAGCAGGUGUAGUUGAUGAGACAUCAGUAGUGGUUGAUGUUUGAGCUGUUGUUGUAGUUGUUGUACCUGUAGUGGCUACAGCUGUAGUUGUUGUUGGAGCAGGUGUGGUUGUUGUAGUUGUUGUGGCUGUAUCUGUGGUUGACGUGGGUGCAGUUGUUGUUGACGUGGAAUGUUCUAUGGUUGUUGUGGCAGUUUUAGUUGUUGUGGGAAGUGCUGUGGUUGACGUGGUGGCUUCGGCUGUUGUUGGAGCAACUGUGGUUGUUGUGGCACCUGCUGUGUUUGUUGUUGCAGUUGUUGUUGAUGUUGGAGCAGGUGUGGUUGUUGUACUGGCAGAUGUAGUUGUUGUGGCUGUAUCUGUGGUUGAAGUGGGUGCAGUUGUAGUUGAUGUGGCAUGUUCUGUGGUUGUUGUGGCAGCUGCAGUUGUUGUGGGAAGUGCUGUGGUUGACGUGGUUGCCGAUGUUGAUGUUGGAGCAACUGUGGUUGUUGUGGCACCUGCCAUGUUUGUUGUUGCAGUUGUUGUUGAUGUUGGAGCAGGUGUAGUUGAUGAGACACCAGUAGUGGUUGAUGUUUGAGCUGUUGUUGUAGUGGCUGCAGCUGUAGUGGUUAGAGCUGUAGUUGUUGUUGGAGCAGGUGUGGUUGUUGUAGUUGUUGUGGCUGUAUCUGUGGUUGACGUGGGUGCAGUUGUUGUUGACGUGGAAUGUUCUAUGGUUGUUGUGGCUGUUGUAGUUGUUGUGGGAAGUGCUGUGGUUGACGUGGUGGCUUCGGUUGUUGUUGGAGCAACUGUGGUUGUUGUGGCACCUGCUGUGUUUGUUGUUGCAGUUGUUGUUGAUGUUGGAGCAGGUGUAGUUGAUGAGACAGCUGUAGUGGUUGAUGUUUGAGCUGUUGUUGUAGUAGUUGCAUCUGUGGUUGUUGUAGUGGCAGAUGUAGUUGUUGUGGCUGUAUCUGUAGUUGACGUGGGUGCAGUUGUUGUUGAUGUGGCAGGUUCUGUGGUUGUUGUGGCAGUUGUAUUUGUUGUUGAUGUUUGAGCUGCUGUUGGAGCAACUGUGGUUGUUGUGGCACCUGCCGUGUUUGUUGUUACAGUUGUUGUUGGAGCAGGUGUAGUUGAUGAGACAGCUGUUGUUGUUGUUGGAGCAGGUGUGGUUGUUGUACUGGCAGAUGUAGUUGUUGUGGCUGUAUCUGUGGUUGAAGUGGGUGCAGUUAUAGUUGAUGUGGCAUGUUCUGUGAUUGUUGUGGCAGCUACAGUUGUUGUGGGAAGUGCUGUGGUUGACAUGGUUGCUGCUGUUGUUGUUGGAGCAACUGUGGUUGUAGUGGCACCUGCCAUGUUUG
ensembl:lncRNA